AUGUGCCCGGUCCUCCGCCUCUCCGGGACCACGACGAACUACACCAUCAUCAAUGUAGCUCGGACGGAGAGGAAUGCCGUGCUCCACGUCGUCGAUCUCGGCGGAGCUGACGCCGCUCAGUGGCUUCUAGUCCUCCUCCUCUUUGCCAAGCGUCUGGGAGCGGGCGCACAUAACCAAAUCCUCCGUCUGACCAUUGUCAACGAGGAGGACGAGUUCCUAUCCGUCACACGUGGGCUCCUCGCCUGGGAAGCCGAGAGCCUGCACAUCGGCUUCCAGUUCCACCCGGUGAAACUCCACAUCAAUCAGCUGCUCAGCAUCGAGCCCCUCAAUUUCAUGAGCGACGAAGCACUAGUCAUCGUCUCCACCCUACAGCUCCACCGUCUGCUCGCCGACGAGUUUGUAGAAGUGGCUGCUCAUCCUCACGACAGGAAAGGAAAAGUACAGGCCCAUGCUACAAUGACGAGGGCCGACGCGCUCCUCCGCGACCUAGCGGAGCUAUCGCCGAAGCUCAUGUUGGUGACGGAGCAGGAGGCCGACCACAACGACGAGUUCAUGGGCCGGUUCGACAAUGCGCUCAACUACUACGGGGCCCUGUUUGAUGCCCUGGAGGAGAGCAUACCUGCACGCGGGUUGGCAAUCGAGCGGUCGGACAUGGAACGAUGCCUGCUCCUGCAAGAGAUCAGGGAUAUCGUUGCAUGUGAUGGCGCGCAGCACCGGGAGCGCCAUGAGCGGAUGGUGAAGUGGGCAGAGCGGAUGAAGGCCGCCGGAUUCGCGUCUGCGGCGAUGAGCGCAGACGCAGUGGCGCAAACGGUGAUGCUGGGGCAGAUGGUGACCGGCUGCAGGAGGGAGUACAGGGUUUCUAGUAAGAAGGAUCUGUGCUUCUUCAUCCACUGGUGCGACAUCCCGUUGUUCUCUGUCUCGACCUGGCGUGCGGUGUGA
rnacentral:rRNA from 1 species